CAGCAGCCGCGGUAAUACGGAGGGUGCGAGCCUUAAUCGGAAUUACUGGGCGUAAAGCGUACGCAGGCGGUUUGUUAAGCGAGAUGUGAAAGCCCCGGGCUCAACCUGGGAACUGCAUUUCGAACUGGCAAACUAGAGUGUGAUAGAGGGUGGUAGAAUUUCAGGUGUAGCGGUGAAAUGCGUAGAGAUCUGAAGGAAUACCGAUGGCGAAGGCAGCCACCUGGGUCAACACUGACGCUCAUGUACGAAAGCGUGGGGAGCAAACGGGAUUAGAUACCCCGGUAGUCCACGCCGUAAACGAUGUCUACUAGAAGCUCGGAACCUCGGUUCUGUUUUUCAAAGCUAACGCAUUAAGUAGACCGCCUGGGGAGUACGGCCGCAAGGUUAAAACUCAAAUGAAUUGACGGGGGCCCGCACAAGCGGUGGAGCAUGUGGUUUAAUUCGAUGCAACGCGAAGAACCUUACCUACACUUGACAUACAGAGAACUUACUAGAGAUGGUUUGGUGCCUUCGGGAACUCUGAUACAGGUGCUGCAUGGCUGUCGUCAGCUCGUGUUGUGAGAUGUUGGGUUAAGUCCCGCAACGAGCGCAACCCUUGUCCUUAGUUGCCAGC
rnacentral:rRNA from 1 species